GCCCAGACUCCUACGGGAGGCAGCAGUGGGGGAUAUUGCACAAUGGGGGGAACCCUGAUGCAGCGACGCCGCGUGGGUGAAGAAGCGCCUCGGCGCGUAAAGCCCUGUCAGCAGGGAAGAAAAUGACGGUACCUGAAGAAGAAGCCCCGGCUAACUACGUGCCAGCAGCCGCGGUAAUACGUAGGGGGCAAGCGUUAUCCGGAUUUACUGGGUGUAAAGGGGGCGCAGACGGCGAUGCAAGCCAGGAGUGAAAGCCCGGGGCCCAACCCCGGGACUGCAUUUGGAACUGUUAAGCUGGAGUGUCGGAGAGGCAGGCGGAAUUCCUAGUGUAGCGGUGAAAUGCGUAGAUAUUAGGAGGAACACCAGUGGCGAAGGCGGCUUUCUGGACUGAAACUGACGCUGAGGCACGAAAGCGUGGGGAGCGAACAGGAUUAGAUACCCUCGUAGG
rnacentral:rRNA from 1 species